rnacentral:rRNA from 1 species
CCUACGGGAGGCAGCAGUGAGGAAUAUUGGUCAAUGGACGAGAGUCUGAACCAGCCAAGUAGCAUGAAGGAUGACUGCCCUAUGGGUUGUAAACUUCUUUUAUAUGGGAAUAAAAUGUUCCACGUGUGGGAUUUUGUAUGUACCAUAUGAAUAAGGAUAGGCUAACUCCGUGCCAGCAGCCGCGGUAAUACGGAGGAUCCGAGCGUUAUCCGGAUUUAUUGGGUUUAAAGGGAGCGUAGGUGGAUUGUUAAGUCAGUUGUGAAAGUUUGCGGCUCAACCGUAAAAUUGCAGUUGAAACUGGUAGUCUUGAGUACAGUAGAGGUGGGCGGAAUUCGUGGUGUAGCGGUGAAAUGCUUAGAUAUCACGAAGAACUCCGAUUGCGAAGGCAGCUCACUGGACUGCAACUGACACUGAGGCUCGAAAGUGUGGGUAUCAAACAGGAUUAGAUACCCCUGUAGUC